CGGAGGGUGCAAGCGUUGUUCGGAAUUACUGGGCGUAAAGCGCGCGUAGGCGGCUUUGUAAGUUGGGAGUGAAAUCCCGGGGCUUAACUCCGGAAUUGCUUUCAAAACUACAAAGCUAGAGUAUGGCAGGGGACAGUGGAAUUCCUAGUGUAGAGGUGAAAUUCGUAGAUAUUAGGAGGAACACCAGUGGCGAAAGCGACUGUCUGGACCAUUACUGACGCUGAGGCGCGAAAGCGUGGGGAGCAAACAGGAUUAGAUACCCUGGUAGUCCACGCUGUAAACGAUGGGUGCUAGAUAUUGGGGCUUAAGCCUCAGUGUCGUAGCUAACGCGUUAAGCACCCCGCCUGGGGAGUACGGUCGCAAGAUUA
rnacentral:rRNA from 1 species